rnacentral:rRNA from 1 species
UAGUCCACGCCGUAAACGAUGUCAACUAGCCGUUUGGAGCACUUAGCUCUUAGUGGCGCAGCUAACGCGAUAAGUUGACCGCCUGGGGAGUACGCCGGCAACGGUAAAACUCAAAGGAAUUGACGGGGACCCGCACAAGCGGUGGAGCAUGUGGUUUAAUUCGAGGCAACGCGAAGAACCUUACCAGUCCUUGACAUCCUAAUCGCGGAUCGCAGAGAUGCUUUCCUUCAGUUCGGCUGGAUUAGUGACAGGUGCUGCAUGGUUGUCGUCAGCUCGUGUCGUGAGAUGUUGGGUUAAGUCCCGCAACGAGCGCGACCCUCAUCCUAUUUUGCCAGCACGUAAUGGUGGGAACUAUUAGGAAACUGCCCGUGACAAGCGGGAGGAAGGCGGGGAUGACGUCAAAUCAGCAUGGCCCUUACGGACUGGGCUACACACGUGCUACAAUGGUGACUACAAUGGGCCGCGACCUCGCGAGGGGAAGCUAAUCUCAAAAAGUCAUCUCAGUUC